rnacentral:rRNA from 1 species
GGCAGACGGGUGAGUAACAUGUAGGUAUCUACCCUUUGGCCUGGAAUAACACGAGGAAACUUGUGCUAAUACUGGAUAAGUCUUUACGGAGAAAGCUUUAUGCACCAUUGGAUGAGCCUGCACUUGAUUAGUUUGUUGGUAGGGUAAUGGCCUACCAAGACUUUGAUCAAUAGCUGAUUUGAGAGGAUGAUCAGCCACAUUGGGACUGAGACACGGCCCAAACUCCUACGGGAGGCAGCAGUGGGGAAUCUUGCACAAUGGAGGAAACUCUGAUGCAGCGAUGCCGCGUGAGUGAAGAAGGCCUUUGGGUUGUAAAGCUCUUUCGUCGGGGAAGAAAAUGACUGUACCCGAAUAAGAAGGUCCGGCUAACUUCGUGCCAGCAGCCGCGGUAAUACGAAGGGACCUAGCGUAGUUCGGAAUUACUGGGCUUAAAGAGUUCGUAGGUGGUUGAAAAAGUUGGUGGUGAAAUCCCAGAGCUUAACUCUGGAACUGCCAUCAAAACUUUUCAGCUAGAGUUUGAUAGAGGAAAGCAGAAUUUCUAGUGUAGAGGUGAAAUUCGUAGAUAUUAGAAAGAAUACCAAUUGCGAAGGCAGCUUUCUGGAUCAUUACUGACACUGAGGAACGAAAGCAUGGGUAGCGAAGAGGAUUAGAUACCCUCGUAGUCCAUGCCGUAAACGAUGUGUGUUAGACGUUGGAAAUUUAUUUUCAGUGUCGCAGCGAAAGCGAUAAACACAC